GCCGCUACUGCGCUCGGUGCUCAACAGGAGUAGCUCGUGCUACGUCAGCACCGCCGGAGAGGAUGCCAAGAUGAGCAUGGAGGUGCAUGGGUUGCGCAUUCGGAUGAAGACUCAAUAGGUGGAGCAGCAAGAGGUGCCCCUCCGUAGGGCAGAUUUGUGGCCACACAUCUAUCACCAGCUGGUCCAUAUAGAGGAGGAGAUAAGGUACAUAUCAAGACACCUUUCUCCGUGACUUCCAUUGUUGAUGGUCAUGAUUCUGUUUAGUUACAGGGCGUGGGGUGCUCUUCUUGGAAG